UUAAAUCAAAGAAAACAAAACUUUUCAAAUAAUAGAAAUUUUGUUUCAGAUACACAUUUUAUCAACCAAAACAACAUUCAUAUACACAAAAAGAUUUCAUCUCUCAAAUAAAUAAUCAAAUAUAAAGUUUGAACAGCUGUGAAUGAAGAAAAUACAUGCCUAUUCAGAUAUGGAAGGGCGACGGUGCUUCACGUGAUAUUGAAGACAGAGACUGUGGUGGUGCACCGUGGAGUUGGAAUGGCGGAAAGAGGCCUAAAAUGAAGAAGAAGAAGAAAGGUUGGCUGACAAUAAAGACAAUCUGGCUGUACUUUGUGGAUUUGCAAUCCAAAUAAUGAAAAGUAAAAACAAAAUUAGAAUUGUAUUGUUUUAUUUUU